AAAUUGAAGAGUUUGAUCAUGGCUCAGAUUGAACGCUGGCGGCAGGCCUAACACAUGCAAGUCGAACGGUAACAGGAAGCAGCUUGCUGCUUCGCUGACGAGUGGCGGACGGGUGAGUAAUGUCUGGGAAACUGCCUGAUGGAGGGGGAUAACUACUGGAAACGGUGGCUAAUACCGCAUAACGUCGCAAGACCAAAGAGGGGGACCUUCGGGCCUCUUGCCAUCAGAUGUGCCCAGAUGGGAUUAGCUAGUUGGUGAGGUAACGGCUCACCAAGGCGACGAUCCCUAGCUGGUCUGAG
rnacentral:rRNA from 1 species